AUGACGCAAGUGAUCCCUGCUGACCCUGGCCAGCCUGAUUCUGCCGAGCAUCUGGUCCCUCAAGCAGGACAGGUGUGGUUCCCAGAUUCGGCCGCGAAAACAGCCCAGGCACUGCUGGAUUUCAACCGUGAAGAACUCCCACUGUUCAUACUUGCUAACUGGAGAGGCUUUUCUGGUGGGCAAAGGGGUCUGUUUGAAGGGAUCCUUCAGGCUGGUUCUAUGAUUGUCGAGAACCUGAGGACAUAUGAGCAGCCUGCUUUUGUGUACAUACCAAAGGCUGGAGAGCUGCGUGGAGGCGCAUGGGUUGUGGUGGACAGCAAGAUCAAUCCCGAGCACAUUGAGAUGUACGCCGAGAGGAGCGCAAAAGGGAACGUCCUCGAGGCACAAGGGCUGAUUGAGAUCAAAUUUAAGCCGGACGAAGUCGAAGAGAGCAUGCUAAGGCUCGACCCCCAGCUGUCCAGACUCAAUGCCAGACUCCUCAAAGAAAUUAGGACGGGUACCUCGGAAACGGAGACCGUUAGGAUCAGGAGUGCGAUGACUGCUCGGAUGAAGCAGCUGAUGCCCAUAUAUACCCAGGUCGCUACUCGGUUUGCUGAACUGCAUGACACCACUUCCAGAAUGGUUGCCAAAGGCGUGAUCAGUAAGGUGGUGGAUUGGGAGGAGUCCCGGGCCUUCUUCUACAGGAGAUUGCGAAGGAGGGUUGCCGAGGAUUCGCUCGCCAAACAAGUUAGAGAGGCCGCUGGAGAGCAGAUGAUGCAUACUCACGGAUCAGUACUGGAGUGCAUCAAGAUAUGGUAUAUGGCUUCUCAAGGACAAGGAGAUGGCGGGCAGUGGAACGACGACGAAGCUUUCUUCGCCUGGAAAGACGAUCGUAACCACUAUGACAAGCAUCUUGAGGAGCUGAAAGCUGAACAAGUAUCUCGGCUAUUAUCGCAUCUCGCCGAAAGCUCCGAUGUGAAGGCCUUGCCCGAGGGCCUUUCGCUCCUCCUUGGCAAAAUGAAUCCUUUAAAGAGGGAGCAAGUUAUGGAUGGCCUCAGGCAGCUUAUUGGCUGA
rnacentral:rRNA from 1 species